GGGUCAGUUUGCCCCAUAGAGUUAUGCAAUAGCAGGGCCUCUGCAUUGGAGAACUCCAGAGGGCACCAUUGGGUUAUAUUUUAUGUUUGCCUAACCUUCAUUGCAGUGAGUAGGUGCAUUCUUUCCACAAUGUCCUGAGGUCUAAAGGGGUAGAGUUCUGUGUGUGGCAUUUGAGUCCUGAAAAGAUGGGAGCCCACAAAACUGGAGAAAUACUGCAGGCAAGGUAAAAGCUUUCUUGGAGCCUUUCUCUUAAUCAGUCCUGCCUCAAACAUCCCUUCUGCUGAAACAAACUGUGAUUAAUCCGCUGUACACCUAACACUCCACUAAAUGGGGCACAGUGCAAAGGUCUGUAAUGAGAAUCUUUUUUAAAGUAAAGCAUAUACAUCAGUCUCAACACAGGAAGCUCAAACAUAGGGACCACUAGGUGAAGGAAAAUUAGCAAGUCUCUCUCCUCAGUUAAAUGUUCUCUGGACCACAUUUGACUGGGCAUUCAAAUGUAAAGGAAGACAAUUAAAGAACAGACAGAGUCUUGCUCUGUCGCCAGGUUGGAGUGCAGCACCACGAUCUCGGCUCACUGCCACCUCCGCCUCCUGGGUUCAAGCGAUUCGUCUGCCUCAGCCUCCCAAGUAGCUGGAACUACAGGCACAUGCAAUCAUGCCUGGCUAAUUUUAGUAGAAAUGGGUUUCACCAUAUUGGCUAGGCUGGUCUCGAACUCCUGACCUUGUGAUCCGCCUGCCUCAGCCUCCCAAAGUGCUAGGAUUACAGGCACAAGCCACCACAACUGGCCAAAUAUUUAUUUUUAAAGGAAGAUCUCUGUCACAAACAUAAAUGGGACUGGGAUCUCUGCCAUAAAUAGAAAGUAUCUGAAAAAUAAAACAAUGUUAUUAAAUUCCAGCUAGAUACUGCUGCCAAGCCUCUAAACCCAAGGCCUGUUCUCUCUUUAUUAAGAAAAAAUGACUAGCAAGUAUCAGAGAGUUAGUAAAGACAUAUUAGCACCAAAUUUGCACUUUUUCCGUUGCUUACAGAUAAGAAUUGAAGUGAGAAGCAGUGACUUCCUUACUAUAAGACAUUGUUUAAUCCCUUGUUCAUGUGCUACCUACAGAGAUCCCAGACCACCACUCAUGAUGCCAGGCUGGAGGAAGUAGCAGGCUAGAGGAAUUCAGGACAGAUGAGUCAGGAAAGAGGUAUUGUUGAAGACUUCCUGGAAGCAAUGACACUUGAGCUUGUCCUCACCAGGGCGGAGUGGUUUUGACUGUCUGCUGUGGGAAAUGCCACUUGGACCCAAUGCAGAGCUCACAUCCCACCUUCCUCUCCCAUGGCAAAGCACUGACAAACCCCUGCCAAAGGUGAAGCUCAGCUGCAAAGCAGUGUGGAGCUGGACCCAGGAUAGAUUCACCCGGAGCUCACCACCGCAGGGAAUGCUGCACUUUGACCAGGCAGAAUGUAUCCUCCAUGCCCACAGAGCAUGUGCCUGGGGUUGAAUCUCACUGUAU